rnacentral:lncRNA from 1 species
UGUCAGACGCGUAGACGACCGGUGGUAGGCGAGCCUUGGGCGGUGGCGGCGUGCGAGGAGGUGGAACGGCGCGCAUUGCUGGAGCCUGGGCAUGCGGCGCUGGGGCUUAAGGUUUCCUUUGAUGGCUGAAAAGCUUUUAAGUUUUGUGGGCUAGGGUUUUUUGAUUUGUUUGGGUUUUUUUUGUAAUUGGACUGCUAGGCCCGGGCAGAUUUUGGGCUUUACAGCUGCCCGUCUUUGCUCAUUGUCGUGCAACGGGAAUGAAGCAAAGACUUUUAAGAAAAGCCAAAAUUGCCUGGUCUCGUCGAGUUUUGACCUCUUGGUACUGCUCCAAUCCACUGCGCCUUGUUGCUUUGAUCCACUUCACGACAUCUUUAGAGAGAUAUGACUUCACUCUAUUCUACUGCAACUCCAUGGGGAUGAGAUUUGUGGUUUUAGUCUGCUCCACUGUAAAUUCAGGGAGAUAAGACCAGAUGCGAUUUGCUCCACUACUGCUUAGGGAGAUAAGAUCUGUGGUCUUCGAUCUACUUUGCCACCAGUAUGAAAAGACAAGAUCUGCAUCUUCGAUCUACUUCGUCACCAGUAUGGGAAGACAAGAUCUGCAUCUUCGAUCCACUUCCUACAAAUAUAGGAAGAUAGGACCUGCUAUCUUCGAUCUACUUCACGCCAAUACAUGAAGACAAGAUCUGCUUUCUUCGAUCUACUUCACCACCAGUAUGGGAAGACAAGAUCUGCAUCUUCGAUCCACUUCCUGCCAAUAUAGGAAGAUAGGACCUACUAUCUUCGAUCUACUUCACGCCAAUACAUGAAGACAAGAUCUGCUUUCUUCGAUCUACUUCACCACCAGUAUGGGAAGACAAGAUCUGCAUCUUCGAUCCACUUCCUGCCAAUAUAGGAAGAUAGGACCUACUAUCUUCGAUCUACUUCACGCCAAUACAUGAAGACAAGAUCUGCUUUCUUCGAUCUACUUCGCCACCAGUAUGGGCAGAUAGGACCUUCUAUCUUCGAUCUACUUCACGCCAACACAUGAAGACAAGAUAUACUUUCUUCGAUCUACUUCGCCACCAGUAUGGGAAGACAAGAUCUGCAUCUUUGAUCCACUUCCUACCAAUAUAGGAAGACAGGACCUGCUAUCUUUGAUCUACUUCACGCCAAUACAUGAAGACAAGAUCUGCAUCUUCGAUCCACUCCCUACCAAUAUAGGAAGAUAGAACCUGUUAUCUUCGAUCUACUUCACGCCAACACAUGAAGACAAGAUCUGCUUUCUUCGAUCUACUUCGCCACCAGUAUGGGAAGACAAGAUCUGCAUCUUUGAUCCACUUCCUACCAAUAUAGGAAGAUAGGACAUGCUAUCUUCGAUCUACUUCAUGCCAAUACAUGAAGACAAGAUCUGUUUUAAUGACUUCAAUCUAUCCCACUGCAACUUCAGGGGUGUAGGAUCUAUUUUUUUAAUCUGUUCUCUGGGGAACAUGACCUGUAAAAUCUAUUUCAUGGACCUAUUUAUGCCUAGUGUUUAGGAUGUCAUGAUUAGAAUGAAUCAAAUGCUCCUAACUAGAUUUGUAUGUAUGAUAUUUGCAUGAAUACAGAAUGUCAUUUUUCGAGAAUGAUCCCCUUUUUAAUGUUUGGGUUGUCGUUCAUUAUUGUUCAUCAAGGUUCUAUCACUGAUGUUUUCGCGUUCAGCAAGUAUCUUUGACAGAAGAUUCAAAGAAAUAGUCUCAAAUUAGACUAUCCGUUCUCAAAUGUUUUCAACCCUCAGGUUUGGUCAGUUCUAAACAAUAGUCCUGUUUUAGGUCCUCGUAUUAUUUAGAAGCUUUCAGAGUAAUAUGCAGAACUCCUUCUGCAUGAGUAUUGUCAGUCCAUUAAUCGUUAUUUAAAUGAAAAAUGCUCGAAAAAUAUUAUCAAAAUGGACAAAAUGGGAUUUUGUUGAGAGCAAAGCUCUAAACAAACAAAUCAAUCAAGAUAGCAAAUUUUUCUGAGAUGCGAAAUAAGAUGAAAAGAUUAUCACAUGGAUAAGAUGGAAAUUUAAUGAGAGUAAAGCUCUAAAUGAACAAAUUAAUCAAGAUAGCAAAUUUUGCUAGAAUACAAAAUGAGAAUAAAUUAAUCAAGAUGGCGUAUCUUGUCGAAAAUACAAAAAAAUGAAUAAAAUAGGUGCCCCAGAUAUCAUAGCAUGAGCUUCUCUGCCCCAAACUUCUUGAGGACCCUUUUUGAACUUGACAUGUGUUUAGAAGUCCUAGAAGACUUUGUUGAUGCCCCAAGAUGUAGCAUCUCUCCUUCUUGUUAAUUUGGAGAAGGCAAGACUACCGUAUGCCUCAUCUUUGAUCAAAAAUUUGAACUGUCCAUUCCUGGGUUUUCAAUUCAAAACCCCUUUGGUCUCAAGGUGCCCUUUGCGGGUUUUCGCCUUGGCCUCUCCCUUUUUUUUUCCUUUUUUUGUUGGGCAAAGUACUUCUUCACUGAAUCUGAAUUCAUAGGAUUAGGCAGGCUUUUUCCAUCCAUCUCGGUCAAAAUUAACGCCCCUCCAGAAAAGGCUUUCUUUACUACAUAAGGUCCCUCCCAGUUUGGCAUCCACUUUCCUCUAAAGUCUUUUUGUAUGGGAAGGAUCUUCUUUAGUACCAAGUCCCCUUCAUGGAAGUUCCUAGGACGAACUUUCUUAUUGUAAGCUCGUAUCAUUCGUUUCUGGUACAUUUGACCAUGACAGAUAGCUCUUAACCUCUUUUCUUCGAUCAAGUUCAGCUGAUCAUAUCGGGAUUGAACCCAUUCUGCUUCGUCUAACUUUAAUUCUGAUAAAACUUGAAGAGAGGGAAUUUCAACCUCAAUUAGUAGCACUGCCUCCAUUCCAUAAACCAAAGAGAAUGGUGUUGCCCCGGUGGAAGUCCUAACAAACGUUCGAUAAGCAUAGAGGGCGAACGGUAACUUCUCGUGCCAAUCUCUAUAGGUCUCAGUCAUUUUCCCCACAAUCUUCUUGAUAUUCUUAUUAGCUGCCUCCACCUCGCCAUUCAUUUUUGGAUGAUAUGGUGAUGAGUUGUGGUGCUUGAUCUUGAAUUGACUACAGACCUCUGCUAUCGUGCUAUUGUUCAAGUUCAAUGCAUUGUCAGAUAUUAUCCUUUCGAGCAUUCCAUACCGACAUAUGAUUUCCUUCUUUAGAAACUUGUUGACGGUUGCCUUUGUGACAUUGGCGUAAGAAGUAGCUUCUACCCACUUACUAAAGUAAUCAAUCACUACAAAAAUGAAACGAUGUCCGUUUGAAGCCUUCGAUGAUAUCGGCCCAAUGACGUCCAUGCCCCACAUGGAGAAAGGCUAUGGGGAAGUCAUGACGUGAAGGGGUGAGGGAGGCACAUGAAUUUUGUCUCCAUAAAUCUAGCAUUUAUGGCACUUCUUAGCAUACUUGAUGCAAUCUCCUUCCAUGGUAGACCAAUAAUAUCUGAAUCUCAUGAUUUGUCUGGCCAUUGUGAAACAGUUGGCGUCUGUUCCACAAACACCAUCAUGGACUUCUUCCAAGAUUUGCUUGGCCUCCAUAGCGUCCACGCAUCUUAACAGCACCUGAUCCUUUUCUCUUUUGUACAGGAUCUCUCCAUCUAAGACGUAGUCACUAGCCAGCCUCCUCAACGUUCUCUUGUCAUUCUCAGUUGCUUGGUUUGGGUAUUCACGAUUUUUCACAUAUCGCAAUAUGUCCUGAUACCAAGGGUAGUCAUCUUUUCCUUCUUCCUUGUCAAUGUUACAACAGUGGGCUGGAGCAUCAUAAAUGCUUAUUUGGAUAGGCUUCACAUCCUCUUGUUUAUUUACUUUGAUCAUGGAAGCCAACGUAGCCAAAGCGUCGGCCAUCUGAUUCUCGUCUCGUGGGAGAUAACAAAAAGUGAUGUCGUCAAACUCCUCAAUCAAUUCUAGGACUAGCUUUCGAUAAUUAAUCAACUUGGGGUCUCUUGUUUCCGAUUCGCCUUUGAGUUGUUAAAUUACCAAUGUCGAAUCCCCAUAUACCUCAAGUACAUUGAUUUUGCGUUCUAUAGCCACACGAAUUCCCAUGACACAUGCUUCAUAUUCUGCCAUGUUGUUUGUGCAAUCAAAAUCUAGUUUACUAGUGAAUGGAUAAUGAUCACCGUCUGGAGAUACGAAGACUGCCCCAAUCCCGUUGCCCACAACAUUUGAGGCUCCAUCAAAGUUUAAUUUCCAAGCAUUGCUUUCUUGUGUGUUUGCUUCGGUAGUUGCCACACACAUCAGAUCCUCAUUUGGGAAAUUGAAGUUCAAAGGCUCAUAAUCAUCCAGGGCUCUACUAGCUAGAAAAUCCGCUAUUGCGUUCCCUUUUACAGCCUUUUGAUUCACAUAGGUUAUGUCAAAUUCAGAUAGUAGAAUUUGCCAUCGGGCCAUCCUUCCGUUUAGAGCGGUUGACUCCAUCAUGUAUUUCAGAGGGUCCAACUUUGAGAUUAACCAAGUCGUAUGGUACAACACGUAUUGUCUCAAUCUUCGAGUAGUCCAAACCAAGGCGCAACAUAAUUUUUCAAUUGAUGAAUAUCUCGUUUUGUAUUCAGUGAACUUCUUGCUGAGAUAGUAGAUUGCUAUUUCUUUUCGUCUUGACUCAUCAUGUUGGCCGAGCACGCAUCCCAUGGAAUUCUCAAAUACUGCCAAGUAUAGAACCAGUGGCUUGUCAGGGCAAGGCGGUAUUAGUACUGGGGCGUUGGACAAGUAAUGUUUGACGUUUUCGAAAGUUUUCUGGCACUCCUCAUCCCAUACACCUGGAUUGUGUUUCUUAAGGAGACGGAAAAUGGGAUCACAUUUCUCAGUUAAUUGUGAAAUAAACCGAGCGAUAUAAUUUAGUCUUCCUAGAAAACCUCGAACUUCUUUUUGAGUACGUGGCGGAGGCAAUUCUUGUAUGGCUUUGACUUAGUCUGGGUCAAUCUCAAUUCCCCUUUCGCUGACUAAAAAUCCUAGCAACUUCCCUGAUUUAGCCCCGAAAGUGCAUUUAGUUGGGUUAAGCUUUAGCUGGAAUUUCCUUAACCUUAGGAAUAAUUUUCUCAGAACUUGCACGUGUUCUCCUUCUGUUCUGGACUUUGCGAUCAUGUCGUCAACAUAGACUUCUAUCUCUUUAUGCAUCAUAUCAUGGAACAACGUUACCAUGGCUCUUUGAUAUGUCACUCCCGUAUUUUUUAACCCAAAAGGCAUCACUUUGUAGCAAAACGUCCCCCACAUUGUUACGAAGGUGGUCUUCUCUCUGUCCUCAGAAUGCAUCUUAAUUUGGUUGUACCCAGAGAAACCAUCCAUGAAAAAUAACAGUGAGUAUCCGGCCGUGCUGUCCUCUAAGGUAUCAAUGUGAGGCAAUGGGAAAUUAUCCUUGGGACUGGCUUUGUUCAAAUCUCGGUAGUCCACACAUAUUUGCACCUUCCCAUCUUUUUUAGGAACAGGGACUAUAUUGGCUACCCAUUUUGAAUACUUGACCACUUGUAAAAACCCAGCAUCAAACUGCUUCUUAACUUCUUUUAUUUUCAGCAAAACAUCAGGCCUCAUCCUUCGGAGCUUUUGUUGAACUGGUUUGCAUUCUUCCUUUAUAGGCAGCCGGUGUACCACGAUAUCAGUACUUAAUCCGGGCAUAUCUUGAUAGGACCAUGCGAAGACAUCUUUAAAUUCUUGAAGCAACCUAACGAGGUCUCGCCUUGUUUCCUUGGUAAUGCAAGCGCCAAUUUUUACCUCCCUGCCCUCUUUUAAGCUCACGACUUCUACAGAUUCCUUAUAGGGUAGGGUUCAUUUUUCUUCUUCCUUCACCAUUCUUAACAAAUCCGGAGAUAAAACGCUGCAUUGGUCAUCUUCAAAAUCCUGAGGAUCAUCCAUACUCAUGUCUUGUUCAAAUAGGGACUCUGAGUUAGUAACAGUGUCGCUCAUCUCAUUGAUAUCUAAAGACCUGUUAUUGGGACAAAGGGAGGCCCAAAUAAAAAGAAUCUAAGAAUACUUGUAUGCAUAGUAUGAUUAUAAAUGGAAUGAAAAGAAUGAAAGAAUAUUUGCUCAAGGUGAGACUGAAUGAUAAGUUUUCAUUGAAAUGAGAUUUUGGACAUGUCCCUUUUACAAAAGAUUCUUAUUACCACCAGGCUUAGGGCAACAAGUGUUUUGAAUAUUACUCUGAAUUAGUUCUAAAUGUUACAGGGAUCUCCUCUGCAGUCCAGUUGUUCAGAACACUUCCAGGUUCGUAAGGGCGAAUGCCCGAUAAAUUUCUUUCCACCUUUUCUUCUUCAAAUAUGGUACUGAUGUCCAACCUUCUGGUCCUUCCUUCCAUAACUUCAUUCUUUCCUUCGGGGUAGACAAUUCCCCCCGACGCAAAUGUCUUAGAUAUAUGGGGAAAGGUCAUUGGUUCCCAUUUGGUUUCCAUCCCGCUCAAACGUGCUCUUCUUUUCUCUCGUUUUUUCUCCAAUUCCUUCUUUCUUUCCCUUGCGUCAGGCUUAUACCCCAAACCAUAACGGUCCUGUUUGUUAAUCGAGAUUGGUACUUCAACCCAUCCCUGGAGGUAUUUUCCAAGUCCUCUUCCAGGUAACGCUCCAUUUCCCAUUGUUAGUUGCAAACCCAUUGUCGUAGCCUUGGAUAUUUUAGGCGCUGGAAUUUUACUCCCCUCGAUGACAAAUGUUGCAUUUACGAAUUCCAAUGAUCAGAAUGAACAUUCUAUCGUUUCACUAUCGGCCUCUAUAUAUGGCGUGUCAUUGGUAACUGAUGCAAUGAUGUCUUCUUCUGCACCUAUAGUUACUAAUCGACCCUCUAUUACCAAUUUCAACUUUUGGUGGAGUGACGAUGGUACAGCCCCUGCAGAAUGGAUCCAAGGCCUCCCCAAUAGGCAAUUAUACGAAGGCUUAAUAUCCAUCACUAGGAAAUCCACCUCGUAUGUAUUUGGGCCAAUCAAGAGGGGGAUCUCUAUUCUUCCCAUUACCCUCCUUUUAGUGCCAUCGAAUGCUCUCACUAUAUUUUGGCAUGACUUCAUGUGAGUGCUAUCCACAGGCAGCCUGUUUAACAUGGACAGGGGUAAAACAUUCAGUGCUGAUCCAUUGUCAAUGAGUACCCCCGGUAGUAUGCACCCCUUGCAACGGGUAGUGAUGUGCAGGGACUUGGUAGAUCCCAUACUCCCGGGCGGGAUCUCAUCAUCGUUGAAGAAGAUGAAGUUGUCGGCACUUAUAUUGUUAACCAGGCGAUCCAACUUAUUCACUGAGAUAUCGUUAGCAACAUAAGUCUCAUUUAGCACUUUUAUCAACGCAUUACGAUGUGUCUCUUAACUUAGAAGUAACUCGAGCACUGAGAUGCGAGUCGGUUGCUUAUGCAGUUCUUCCACCACGCUGUACUCACUAUGCUUUAGAAAUUUUAAAAAUUCUCUAGCCUCAUCUUCGGUCACCGGUUUAUUAACAUGUGAUUCAAUUCUAGCCAUCUUGGUUCUAUCUUGUUCAACUGCCAACGCUUUUCCUUUUGUAGGCUCUACUUUUGUACUUACUGGGUCAUAGCGUUUUCCACUGCGCGUAUAGAAGCCUGCAUCAUUACCCUCUUCUGAAGCAUUUAUCAAUUUCUCCUCUCCCGUGAUCGUCACAUUGCAGUCAUAAUUCCAAGGAACCUUUUUGCUAUCCUUGUAAGGAAAGGCUACAGGUUUUUGGAUUAUGACCCUUGGCGCCAUUUGUGUUCCAAAAUCUGUGCUCCUUGGCCUUGAAAUAAUCACCACUGGGCGAUUUUGGGUCUCUCCCGUAGGUCCUUCCUCCGAGGCAUAGACUUCUCCUUCUUCUAUUCCUUUGAUCUCUUUAUAAAAUUCCACUUCUUUGUUGUUAAUCAGAUUUUGUACCAUGAUUCUGAACUCAGCGCAUUUUUUGAUGUCAUGGCCUCUUCGGCAUGAAACUCGCAGUACGUCUUUGUUCCUUCGGGCCUUUCCUUUGAAUCUUGUUUGAUGAGACCUCCUUCUAUCAUUUGUCUCCAAACCCAACUCAAUGGGGUUUUUAUCUCUGCAAUGUCGGCCUUGAUUCUCUUUCUCCCACCUUUGAUUAUUGCGUUUAUCUCUUUAUCAGAAUGAUUGGGUAACAGAUUCACUGCUACGUUUGGUCCUGAUGGGUUGUCAAACUUCACGAUCCCCAUCUUAAUGAACCUUUCCACCGCCUUUUUAAACACAGUGCAAUUCUCAAUUGAGUGCCCUGGUAUCCUUGCAUGGUAUUCACAUUGGGCAUUCAUGUCAUACCAUUUGGGGUAUGGAGGUUACAUGGGUUCUAGAUAAAAUGGAGAUACUAUGUGUGCAUCAAAUACCUUCUAAUACAGUUCCCCGUAUGUUAUUGGGAUGGGCGUGAAUUGAAGUCUCUCUGUGUUAGGCCUUGUAUUGGGCCUUGUGUUGGGUUCUUGCCUUGAGGGGGCCUGGUGACUAGUGGCUAUCGUUUUUAGAGGGCCAACAGUUAUCGGUUUCGAAUAACCUUUGUUAUAUGUGCUUAUGUUGUUUACCUCACUUUCUUUUUUUCUCGGGGCUUGUCUUUUGGAGCUUUCCCCCGCGUCUAUUUUACCGCUUCUUAUUGCGUUUUCAAUCAUUUCACCGGACAUUACCAUAUCCGAGAAGCUCUUGGUAGCAUUCCCCAACAUGUGGUUAAUGAAUGAGGCCUUCAACAUAUUAAUAAAAAGCAUGGUAACCUCUUUUUCCAAAAGGGGUGGUUGGACUUGCGUUGCUACCUCCCUCCAUCGUUGGGCGUAUUGCCUGAAACUCUCGUUUUGUUUCUUUUCCAUGUUCUAUAACGUAAUUCUGUCGGGUGUUAUAUCCGUCACAUGACUGUAUCGCUUCAUAAAAGCUUACGCCAAGUCUCUCUAUGAACUAACCUUAGUACGACUCAGCUGGUUGUACCACUUGGCUGCAGACCCGAUCAAACUGUCCUGGAAGCAAUGGAAUAACAGUUGAUCAUUGUUGACGUAUCCUGUCAUUCUUCGACAGAACAUAGUUAUAUGAGCUUCAGGACAACUAGUCCCGUUGUACUUUCAAACUCCGGCAUCUUGAAUUUAGGCGGGGGCACUAAAUCAGGAACCAAACUCAAAUCUUUGGCGUCAACUCCACAUUGGUAGUCGGUGUUCUCCAUGGCUCUAAAUUUCUCCUCUAGCCAUCUACACCGGUCCUCGAGUUGUUUUGGCAGGUCCAUUCUUACUUUUUCCAUUUCUGCCAUGUCAUCGAGAUCAAAGACCACAAGGUUGGUAGGGUUGUCCCCGGGAUUAGAACCCGAGCCUACUUGAAAGUGCAUUGGUACCGAGGCGCCAACCCGAUAUUGAGGUCCAAUAGUGACAGGUGCUCUUUGGGGGCACAUAUCUAGCUGUACCUGAGUGCUUGUCGUGGUAAAACCUAGAGGAUAAACAGGGUCCUCCUGAUCAACUCCCGAAUUAAUUACAGGGCUCUUUCCUUUAUCAGCCAAUAAUUGUGCCAGUUGGCUCAUAAUUCUUUGGGAUCCAUCGCGUCUUGUUGGAUUUUAUCCAAUUGUUCUUGCAUCUUUUCUUGCAUAUCUUUUUGCAUUUGUUCCAGCCUUUCUAACCUCUGAUCCAUUGCUUUUGUUUGACGUCAAGUACCGUAGUGAUAUUGGGUUGGAUUUUUGUUGGUUUCCAAGGUAACUGUGACAAUUUUGAUUAAUUAGGGCCUUCUUAAUGAAACUUAAUGCAUGUAAUGAAAUGUGAUGUAAAUGUAUGAAUGCAAAGGGAGGCAUUGAUUCCAAUUCAAUUUCAUUAGAAGAACUCAAUUUCGAAAAUAAAUUUCUUCACAUAAAAUGGACUACAUAUACGACUUUGCCUUUAUACUUAAAGCCUUAACACUCUUAAGGAGCCGAGCUAACUCUCGACCUCGGCUCGAUUCUGAUUCAAACUUUAAACUUAAUACAUCAGCCUAAACUGCUAAGGUUUGUAGAUGAUCCGCUACUUCCCGUACUUGAGUCACAGCUUCGCCCAUAAUGUAAUCCCUUUCUCUAAUCUGAUUUUGAGAAUGAUGGAAUUGCUCUUGGCACUGUUCAUUACGCCUUUCAAGAAGUUCCAUUCGCAGUUCAGAAUUGUGCAAUGCGUCCUCAAGAUCCCCUAUCUUUCCUUUCAGUUCUUCGAUCCUAUUUAAGCUCGCUCUUAACUCUAUCACAGAGUUGUGACUACGGUGCAGAUGAAGCGACUUUUCCAACUCUACUACCCGGGCUUUUAAUCUUGCUUCUUCAUUCUGGCAUUCUGAUAAGUUUUUCUCCAAAGCGCUCUCUCUAACUAGGGCGUCUUGAAAUUUCUUCUCCCACUGAUCAGCUUUGGUCUUUUCUUAUUUGAUUUCCUGUUGCCACUGCUCUGAUUUUUUACCCAAACCGGCAGUUCUCAUCGACAAUCGCAGCUUCUUAUAAUCCAUUUUUAGGCUAUCCAAAUCCUCUUCAGCCUUGUUCUUUCCUUUCUUUAGUUUCUCGGCUUCUAGCUUGUGGAUAUCGACUUCUAGUCCCAAACGCGUCUUUUCCUCUUCUAGCUGCUCUAUCCUCUUUCCCCAUUCCGAACUCCUUUUUUCAAAGUCCUGUUUGAUGAUUUCUAAUUCUGACGGAGCUACUUGCAGACGCUCCUCUAGAGACUGAACGCAAUCUUCUCUCGGCCCAGGGAUAUUGUCAUUGACCCUUUUGUUCCACCACCCAUAAUACUCGGGAGUUGUCAUUGCCCCUAUGGUAAAUCUUUUCAUCCGAUGAACUCAUUUCCAAGCAUUAGAUAUUUCUCGAAUUUUUCUCUUAUAGUUAUCAUCCUUAUAAGAGAACUCACACUGAGCCAACCCAUGCGUUACCGGUAUGAACUGUCUCGAUCUAUAUUGUCUUAAUACAAGUAAAGGGGUAUAUCCGAUAGCUCCCCAAACUCCAAGUAAAGGGACCCAGUCGAAGUCCCCACAUCGAUAUAAGAUCUCAUCGGGCACCAUCUAAUGAGCUUUCCAUUCAACGUCAUCUUCUUGAAGACUUUGGAGAAUCACCAUCCACUUCUCUUCCGUUAUGUCGUCUCGUCUUGGUGUAGCCGCUAGUUCUUUCAAUGGGGAGUAACUUUCUAAGAAGACCCGAUAUGAGACCUUUUCCACCUUCCAAAAGUGACUAUGAAACCACAUCAAUAGCAACUGCGCGCACCCGAUGAACCUUCCCUCACCCGCUCUUCGACACGCAUUUAGGGACCUGAAGGUUUCGGCUAAAAUUACUGGGACCGGUGUGACUCCCUUGUCAAGCCUAUCAAAUAAAUCUGAAACUGCUUCAUCCAUGUGGCCUAAUGCCCUAGGGAAGACAACCAAGCCAUAAAUACUUAAUGUAAAGAUAUCAACCCUUUUCUUUAUAUCCGGAUGUACCAAUAUCAGAUCCCGCAAGCUUUUCCAAGGUAUGCAUUUGCUGUCCCCCUUUUGUUUAAUCCAGGCUGCAACCCAUUGCUCGCUCAUUCCAGUGAUGCACACUAAUUUCUUCAAGAAUGUUGGGACAUUAGCUGCUCUCGAGUAGACUUUGUCAACUUGGAUCCUCGGAUAUCGUAGCAAGGUUGUAUAUUCUUCUACUGUAGGUACCAAAUCUACUUUCCUAAACGUGAGAUUAUAGGCUGGAUUCCAGUACUGCGCAAGAGCUCGAAAUAGGCACUUGUCUACUCUUACAUCAAGCAAAUAGGGCAGGUCACCAUAGUUACCAUAAAAGAGUUGCUUGAGCUCGUUAUCCCAUUGAUUCCAUAUCUCUUUUAAAUCUUGCACUCCGUCUUGAGUUACACUAAUGCGAGUGAAGUCCCACAAUUCUGAUGCAUAUCCUUCCACGAGGCUAUCAUCCUUUUCUCGCUGAACCUUUUCGGACCAAACUCGGACAGCUGCAUUGUCUUCCACUUUACCAAGAAACUCCCUUUCCAUGUUGAGCUUCUCUAGUUAGAUACUGAACUUGAACCAACACCUUUUUAUGAUGAAAAUGCCAUGCAAUCACAGUCAGAGCAAAGCAAGUCAGUAUAACACAAAAAUUAAACUCAAAGUAUACAAGAAAUAAUAAUUAAAGCCACUAUUCAGGAAACUACUAGGGUUCGAGAUGGUUCUACAUAAGGUAGGCUCCUAGGGCUCAUUAUAUGCGGUUUGGUUCUAAAGUCGAGGUACCUGAACCAGCAGAUUCCUCGAUCCUCACCCAUUAUAGGCUCAUACAGACCGAGUUCAGUUCAGGGGAAUACAUUUCCCUAUAGCUGCACGGAGAUGAAAAUCUCACGAAGACAUAGGUACGGAUGUAUCCCGAAAGUGAUCCACUAUCCUGCACGGAGGUGAAGACCUCCCAAAGGACUAGUUUCUCACUCCCACUUAAAAGAUGUAACCUACGGUCAUGCAAUGCAGUGCAGAAGUAUCAAAAGGCUUGAACUAAAAAGGUAAGCAUACUAAAGACCACAAAAAACAACGGACAAAACGCAACGAAAGGAUCGUACAUUUAAACCAAAUUUUCAAUUUUCGACAAAAGGACAAAAAUUAAUCAACUCAUGGCUUGACUCUCUUAUUACGUCCCCAGUGGGGUCGCCAAGCUGUUGACACCAUUUUUUUUGAUGAAACGGGGUCGACUUGGAUUUUAAAAAUCAAAACGGAAAAACAGGAGUCGCCACCAAUCCUUUUUUGAUAAGGUGUGAUCGGAUCACCUUGAAAAAUGGUUGUUUUUAAUAAACGAUUUAAUUUUAUUAAAACAAUGAUUUUGGUCCACGAAAUUCAAAAAAAUGGGUUCGGGAGUCGGUUACGUACGAGGAAGGAUUAGUACCCUCGUAACGCUCAAAAAUUGGUACCUAGUUGAUUAGUUAAUAUCUUAAUGUCGAAGAUUGAAAACUUUGAAGAGUUUUAAAAAAAUACGAUCCUUAAAAAAAACUCGAAUAAUAGAUUGAAAGUUAAGAAGAUAUUUGGCUAUUUGGUCAAACGAGAAAUUGAGACCCAGCACGUUAGGGCACAUUCUCUCAAAUUUCCAAACGCAAAUAUUGCCUUACUUUGAAAGUUUAAAAGGAUAUUUGGCUAUUUGGUCAAACGAGAAGUCGAAACCCAACACGUUAGGGUACGUUUGCUCGAUUUUCCAAACGCGAAAUAUUGCCUUAUUUUAAAAGUUUAAAAAGGAUAUUUGGCUAUUUGGUCGAACGAGAAAUCGAAACCCAGCACGUUAGGGCACGUUUUCUCGAUUUUCCAAACGCGAAAUAUUGCCUUAUUUUAAAAGUUUAAAAAGGAUAUUUGGCUAUUUGGUCGAACGAGAAAUCGAAACCCAGCACGUUAGGGCACGUUUUCUCGAUUUUCCAAACGCAAAAUAUUGCCUUGUUUAGAAAAACCUUCCUUUUGAUGUUUGGUAUUAAUAAGCAUGACAAAACAAUAACGAAUAAAUAAAUAUAAUAGGCAGAAUGAAAUGACGACAAGGUAACAACAAUAUAAUAGGCAAAAUGAAAAUAAGAAAUGACGAGGCGAUUACAUAAACAAAGCAAACGAAUAAAUAAAUAGAACUAACAAUUUAGAAAAGUAAAAGUGUACNNNNNNNNNNNNNNNNNNNNNNNNNNNNNNNNNNNNNNNNNNNNNNNNNNNNNNNNNNNNNNNNNNNNNNNNNNNNNNNNNNNNNNNNNNNNNNNNNNNNNNNNNNNNNNNNNNNNNNNNNNNNNNNNNNNNNNNNNNNNNNNNNNNNNNNNNNNNNNNNNNNNNNNNNNNNNNNNNNNNNNNNNNNNNNNNNNNNNNNNNNNNNNNNNNNNNNNNNNNNNNNNNNNNNNNNNNNNNNNNNNNNNNNNNNNNNNNNNNNNNNNNNNNNNNNNNNNNNNNNNNNNNNNNNNNNNNNNNNNNNNNNNNNNNNNNNNNNNNNNNNNNNNNNNNNNNNNNNNNNNNNNNNNNNNNNNNNNNNNNNNNNNNNNNNNNNNNNNNNNNNNNNNNNNNNNNNNNNNNNNNNNNNNNNNNNNNNNNNNNNNNNNNNNNNNNNNNNNNNNNNNNNNNNNNNNNNNNNNNNNNNNNNNNNNNNNNNNUAAAUGAAAAGUAUGUACGGAAAUAUAUAUUAUAAAAAUGUAUGAACAAUUUGAAAUUAUUAAUAUUAAAAUAUUUUAACAUAGAUAAUAAUAUAUAAGAUGAUAAUAUAUAAAUUUAAACCAAAUAAAUAAAUAAGAUAAAAACUUUAGAUAAAUACUAGUCAAUCUAAAAUAGUUUAAAAUAAAGCAAUAUACAAAAGAAAAUCUUAAACAAUAAAAGAAACAGUUUUUUUUAAAUAUAUAAAAAAUUUUAAUGCAAAGCAAUUUCAAAUAAAUGAUAAAUAUAAAGGCUUAAAACAAAUAAUUGUAAAAUAACAUAUAUAUAAAAAAAAUUAAACAUAUUAAGGACGUGGUUGAAAAAGAAUUAAAAAAACGGGUCUUAAACUACAAAUAUAUGAAAUAGGUGGUAAAGGGGUUGAAAUAAUAGGCGCUAAGGACCUGGGGGACCGAUUAUGCAAUAUUCCCUGUCCCAUAUGCGCAUUGAUUUGCGCGGGACCAGAUUGGAACAAGCGAAAAAAUAGGUGGCUAAAAUUAAAAAGAAGCAAAAGGCGCCAUUGAAUGCACCGCAGGAUUAGAGGGACCAAAGGCACAAAUUACCCAUUAGGGCAUGAGUGCGCCGGUCCCACUCCUUCAAACGGCACCAAUUUAAUUACCUUAAAAGCUAAAAAAUAAAAAAAAACUUUCUGCAGUUUCAUUCUCUUGCAAAACCACAAAAAAAUAAAAGGGAGGUCUCCAUUUUUCUGCUUGGGUUCCAGGCCCAGUCGCCGCCGCCGUCACGCCUCCCUACCACCCGGUGGCCAGAGCCAUGUGAGGGCGUCUCCCACCAACGCUUUGGAGCGCGUUCAGAGACCCAAGCUCCGAAAUGGGGAAACGAGGGGAAAACGGAAAACCUCUGCCCCUUCCUUUCCCUUUUUCCUUAUCUAGACUUAGUGUUUUAAGAUAGAUUAAAAAAGAAAAAAGAUAAUAAUAAAAAGACUAUAUAAAAAAACGAAAGAACAGUUCUAAAAAACAACCUUUAGAAUUUCAAUUUCUAACUUUCGAUUUUCUGAUGUGCGUUCGUAAAAAAAAUACAACGAUUAGAUUCGGGCUUUUAUAGCCGAAUUAAAAAAACACUUUCUUCUUCUUUACUAUCUGUUAAUUACCCGCGUGCCUCCUUUUUGCCAUUGCAUUUAAUUUUUGCAGGUGUCAGACGCGUGGACGACCGGUGGUAGGCGAGCCUUGGGCGGUGGCGGCGUACGAGGAGGUGGAACGGCGCGCAUUGCUGGAGCCUGGGCAUGCGGUGCUGGGGCUUAGGGUUUCCUUUGAUGGCUGAAAAGCUUUUAAGUUUUGUGGGC